GGGAGGUGGGGGGAGGGUUAGUGAGGUACUGCAGUCGAGGGGCUCGGGAGGGAGCUUGCUUUCCUUGCCGGCGACCGGCGCACGGGUGAGUAACACGUAUGCAACCUGCCCUCUUCAGGGGGACAACCUUCCGAAAGGGAGGCUAAUCCCGCGUAUAUCGGUUUCGGGCAUCCGGGAUCGAGGAAAGAUUCAUCGGAAGAGGAUGGGCAUGCGGCGCAUUAGCUUGACGGCGGGGUAACGGCCCACCGUGGCGACGAUGCGUAGGGGUUCUGAGAGGAAGGUCCCCCACACUGGUACUGAGACACGGACCAGACUCCUACGGGAGGCAGCAGUGAGGAAUAUUGGUCAAUGGGAGAGAUCCUGAACCAGCCAAGCCGCGUGAGGGAAGACGGCCCUAUGGGUUGUAAACCUCUUUUGUCGGAGAACAAAACCCGGGACGUGUCCCGGACUGCGUGUAUCCGAAGAAAAAGCAUCGGCUAACUCCGUGCCAGCAGCCGCGGUAAUACGGAGGAUGCGAGCGUUAUCCGGAUUUAUUGGGUUUAAAGGGUGCGUAGGCGGUCCGUUAAGUCAGCGGUAAAAUUGCGGGGCUCAACCCCGUCGAGCCGUUGAAACUGGCAGACUUGAGUUGGCGAGAAGUACGCGGAAUGCGCGGUGUANCGGUGAAAUGCAUAGAUAUCGCGCAGAACUCCGAUUGCGAAGGCAGCGUACCGGCGCCAGACUGACGCUGAGGCACGAAAGCGUGGGGAUCGA
rnacentral:rRNA from 1 species